UUUCCAGUUACCAGUCACGUUCACAGUCGCAGAGCAGCAGAAUACGGUUGUCAGUCCUGCAUUUGAGUAGCCUACUUAACACGGUUACGUUCACACAAUACAGUUAUUUACGGGAUUGGCAACUGCAUUCUAUAACCGAACUCACACCCCGUCUAUUUUCAGGACUCACAACCGGGUUCUCAGAAAACACGCGCUGUGUGAUCUAGCUUAUAUAGUGCGAGAGAGACGCUAAUGUGUGGUUUCACUCUGUGUAAAUUACAGCGACGGAGAAAUAAGCUGUGCAUCAUCUGAAGGUUUUAGAUCCAGUCACUGUUCUCAACUGGAGCAGUUUCCGUCAGUUUUGUGUUCUGUGCAUGACUCAAAUUCAGUGUCAUGCACGAGAUGCAGAAAAGGACGCGAUUGCAUUUACGGGCUUGACUCCUUGCACGUUCAUACAGACAGUAUUCGAGACGCAUCUGCACAGUAAGCUGCUGUUUGAACGGGACAUUUUGAAACUAUGCAACACAUUAUGACUGCAGCUACAAUCAACAGAGAUCCAGCAGCAGAUAGCAACACUAUGUACAAUAAAGGUAAACCUAAAGAAGUGUUACGUGAGCAGCUCAACAUCUGAGUCAAACUGAAACCUGCUGUGGUCUGAUUUUCUUCAAGUUUGAUCUGUUUGGGGUAGACAAGUAGCUCAUGCAAGAGAACGACCAUUUGUUUGAUGUGUGUUUGGUUUGUAAGUGAAGACUUUCUUUCUGUCCUGCUGUCAUGAACCUCACAGCCUGACUUCCUUCCUGCACAGACCAGCUUUACAGUCAAAUAAAAUUAAUCAUUUAAAAAUAAUGUUUUAAAAACUGUCAAAUAAGAAAUGCUACUGUUCAUCGAUGUAUCAUUAAUUGAUUUAAUAAUAAUUUUUCAUUAAAGUGCUUUUAGAGUGUUAAAGUGCUGUCAUUGCUCUAGUUUACAAUAA